GCCCGGAUGGCGGAAUCGGUAGACGCGGUGGUCUCAAACACCACUGCCGCAAGGCUUGCCGGUUCGACUCCGGCUCCGGGUA
rnacentral:tRNA from 1 species